rnacentral:rRNA from 1 species
AGUGAACGCUGGCGGUAGGCCUAACACAUGCAAGUCGAACGGCAGCACAGAGGAGCUUGCUCCUUGGGUGGCGAGUGGCGGACGGGUGGGGAAUACAUCGGAAUCUACUCUGUCGUGGGGGAUCACGUAGGGAAACUUACGCUAAUACCGCAUACGACAUACGGGUGAAAGCAGGGGACCUUCCGGCCUUGCGCGAUUGAAUGAGCCGAGGUCGGAUUAGCGAGUUGGCGGGGUAAAGGCCCACCAAGGCGACGAUCCGUAGCUGGUCUGAGAGGAUGAUCAGCCGCACUGGAACUGAGACACAGUCCAGACUCCUACGGGAGGCAGCAGUGGGGAAUAUUGGACAAUGGGCGCAAGCCUGAUCCAGCCAUACCGCGUGGGUGAAGAAGGCCUUCGGGUUGUAAAGCCCUUUUGUUGGGAAAGAAAGCCAGCUGGCUAAUACCCGGUUGGGAUGACGGUACCCAAAGAAUAAGCACCGGCUAACUUCGUGCCAGCAGCCGCGGUAA